rnacentral:rRNA from 1 species
CCUACGGGAGGCAGCAGUCGAGAAUCAUUCACAAUGGGGGAAACCCUGAUGGUGCGACGCCGCGUGGGGGAAUGAAGGUCUUCGGAUUGUAAACCCCUGUCAUGUGGGAGCAAAUUAAAAAGAUAGUACCACAAGAGGAAGAGACGGCUAACUCUGUGCCAGCAUCCGCGGUAAUACAGAGGUCUCAAGCGUUGUUCGGAAUCACUGGGCGUAAAGCGUGCGUAGGCUGUUUCGUAAGUCGUUGGUGAAAGGCGCGGGCUCAACCCGCGGACGGCACAUGAUACUGCGAGACUAGGGUAAUGGAGGGGGAACCGGAAGUCUCGGUGUAGGAGUGAAAGGCGUAGAUAGCGAGAGGAACAAUCGUGGCGAAGGCGGGUUCCUGGACAUUAACUGACGCUGAGGCACGAAGGCCAGGGGAGCGAAAGGGAUUAGAUACCCCUGUAGUC